GAGCAGUUGGUUUCUGAGCCGGUUUCGCUGCGCUUUUUGCACCAGGAGGAACCUUCUGUCCAGGCGUCAACGGCGCCUUUUGACCCGUGGAGCCCUUCUGGUUCACGUGGCCGACUCCGUCCGCUGGUUUGUUGCGAGCCUAUCGCCGGAAAUAAAAGACCACUGGUUAGACUCGUCGGGUAAUCGAUAAUCGAAGACACUUUCACCGGAAAAUAUCGACGGUUCGUUUCCCGCGCGAACCAACGAACGGAACUUGGGGGAUAAUCGUGGCGAUCUGCGCUCCCGAUGGAACUUCCUUUUUAAUCGUUCGACGAUUAAAGGAACGUCGACGAAUACCGAAGGGGUUCGGUUGCGCUUUGGAGAAUCCCUCCUCCGUCCCUCGCGUUGCCAGCAACGUUCCACGGUUUAACGAGGUUUCAAUUGCGCGAUCAAAUAAUUUGUUUCCCGACUUUGCUUUUAAUCGCUCGAACGUGCGAAACGGUCUUCGAUCAGCUUCGAAACGGACUACGAUCGAGCACUAUGCAACUGGGUCAUUCCGUCUGAAUGGCGACUGAAUCGAUCACUUCCUGCGAUCCGUAAUUCAGGGUGAGCAUUAUUUCGUUACCAACGUAACGAGCUGUCGCAAGUUGAGGGGUGCGGACGCAGUUAAAGGAUUUCAGAGAGUUAUUGGAGUUGGAAUUUCAGAGAGUAGCGACUCGAGAAACGUUCUCAAAGAAGAUCGUUAGUGGUUGCGUUUCCUCGUGGGAAAUGUUCGCCUGGAUUUACGAGCUCGAGCACUAGCCAGACAAAGCGAGCACCAGGAAUUGCAAAAAUAUCGUUGUUUACCGAUCCCGCAUUGUGUAUUCCCAAAAGCAAAACUGGGGCAUCGCCGAUUACGGAUCUCUUUGGUUCCCCCGCAAAGUUAUCUCCGAUAUCCUGUGCCUCCCUCGCCUAUCUCGCCUAUGUACAAAGCUACGAUUUAAUCGCGCUUAUGCCUAAAUCGCAGCCUAGCUUUUGUAUAUUUAUCUUGAAUUCAAGGUUCAUUUCUAAAAGGUUUUUAAAUGGAGCUUUGGGAACUUGUUUCUUAAUAGAACACAAACGUUAUGAGAAUUUUUAAGCGAAGAUACAUACGAUUAUAAUUAAACGUGAACAUGUUUGUUAAAUUAUUUUAAUAUUCGUACGAUUAUAGAUAGCGUUCCUAAGAAAAACGAUAAAAUAUAUUCACUAGCAAGAUGAUAGACGUAAAUAUGCCUAACCAGUCAGUAGAAUAUACCCAUGCUAUACCAGACAGUUGCUUACUAAGCGGUAGAAUGUGCCCAUCGACAACCAGACACCAGAAUAUUGAGAACACUACAGAAAAGUACACUCGAUUACAAUCGAACACGAAGUUGGCAUACUUGUAACAAUUACAUUCACAUUUAUCCCGAUUUCAGAAUUACGCCCAACCUUUUCGAUGCUCCAAUUGUCGUUUAUUUUUAUAACAUAUUUAAAGGAUAAUUCACUUUUCAAUCUAUCGUACUAAUAGCCUGUAUAACGAAAUGAACCUUCCCGAAGAUGAAACGUGUA